AAAAACAACUAUAUCCAGGGUUUAUUUGACAGAUAAGCAUGAAAAACAUGCUCUUUAUAUAUCAGGAACUAAAACACCUUCUGUCUGUUUGUUAGGUAUAACUGGAAAGUUGCGUUUACAUCCCUAUGAUGGGAGGCGGACUGAGAAAUUCUUGCCUUGCAACAUUCUCAGUGAUUUUGUGCAGAUCUGCAGUUCUCCCAUUCAUGUAGUUCUUUCCAAGCUAGAAGAUAGAAGAAGAGUUACAAGAGGGUGUUUCGUUUCUUUCAAGAGUUUCCAGUGGAAUGGUUUCAAUGCCUAGAAUUUUAAAAAUCAACUGGUGAAAGGAAGCGGUCAAGGGAGAGAUGAUGUAGAUAACAACCCCAAACUAAAUGCCUCCAUAUACGUUGGACAAGAAAUCUCACAUUCCCAGACAACUCAGCCAAUAUAUUUUUUGUUUGUUUGUGGAUGCUGGUAGAUGGUAGGAGCUACAGUCCAACAGAUCUAAAAAGCAUCGGAUUAUGAUGGAAGUGUCUCUUUCCUCAGCACCUCUGAUGAAGUUAAGCUCUCAAGUGAACGCCUAGCGACCUAAGUAACCUAAGAUAUCCACAAACUGAAUUACAAUUUCUAUAAAUGAACUGUUCAAAAUUGUAUUUGCCCAGCAGAUAAUAUUGUUG
rnacentral:lncRNA from 1 species